rnacentral:lncRNA from 1 species
CCAUAUUAUAAUUAAAGCCUAAUUUUUUUUUGUAAAAUCAUUUUUUCAAGUAUAAUGUUUUCAUCUAAACCCUAUCAAAUUUCAGAUAAGCCUUCAGGCAUAGACGAAUAGUUCGACCAUUGAACGGCACUAGAUUAAAUUAAUCCUACCAUUCAAUGGAUAAACUUAAUAUUUUUACAAUUAAAAAAUAUCAAAUAAGACCAAAUUGAAAAUUGAAAAAAAGUUAGGCAUUUAUUCUUUAAAAAUAACAAUUUUUAUUCAUAUUUGUAAAAUCAUGAAAAACUAUUAAAAUAUUAAACGUCAUUUUUUAAAUGAUAAAUAUUAAUUCAAUUAAAAUUUUACUUUAUUUAAUUUUUUUAAUAAUAUAAAAACUAAAUUUAUCCAUUUAAUAAUAAAAACACUAAUUUGAUUCUGUAACACCCCUAACCCCAAACUAUCGCCGGAACAGGGUUACGAGGCAUUACCUGACAUAUCAAACAAUUUACAAAUAAUUCUUAAAUAAAUAACCAACAUAUUAAAAUAAUUCAUAAAUACAUAUAAAUUUCACUAAUUGACUCCAUUCAAAUUUUUUUUAUAAAAAUUUCGGCAACAUUUCUACUUAUUUUUACAUAAAACCCCCUGCAAAAUUUCAAAACAUAAACAACCUAAUUCCCGUAUUUCAACCAAGGCAUUUAUAUAUUUAAAUCUUACUUGACAUAUUGACAUAACAACUUAAUUAAUAAAAAUCCUAUUAUCAUUUCUAAUUAACACAUAAAACUAAUCAAGCCAUUUCAAUUUGAUACCAAUACCAUAAAAGACUUCUACCACUUUACUAAUAUAAUCAUCAAAAUACAUAAUAUCUUAAUUUACAACAAAACUAUAUAACAUACCAAAAUAACCAUCAUAAUUCUUAUGUACAUGCCACUUUCAUUUAAGGAAGAAAACAUCACCAAAAUCUCUAUGCAGGAGUCAGGAUUGUCCUGGAUACUGAACCGAGACUCUGACCCCUUUUCAACCUGCGCACGGAAACAACUGUACGCUGAGUAUUGUAUACUCAGUGGUAUUACCAUAAUUCAAAUUAUAAUAGAAAUAAAGAAUUAUAAUUUCCAAGCAUGUAACUCUCCAAUUUCUUAAAUAUCAAUUUAUUCAUAAAUUUUCAUUAUUUGACAAUAACAAUACAAUAUUAAGCUAUUCUUCAAUCUCAAUCACCAAUCAUAAUUUAAAAUUUUAUCAUAUUCAAUACGGCUAUCAAUAUUAGCUACGAACAAUUAAAAUAAUUUCAAAAUCAUUAGCACAAAACAAUUUAAUUGCUGAAAUUUUUAUCUAACUUUUACUUUAAUUCUAAUUUAAUCCUAACUAACCUAUAUAUUUUUCUUUCUCAAUCCAUACCUUUUUACUACUUAAUUUCCUACCAAACUCACAUUUAACUAUCUAAUUUUUAUCAUUAUUUUCAUAAUUUCGAAUUUAUUUCAAUUUAAUCCCUAAAAUUCAAAACUUAUAGUUUAGUUCACAAUUUAAUCCUUUUAUCAACUCUAACUAGAAACUCUAUCAAAUAAGCCAUCAAUUCCAUCAUUUAUUCAACAUAAACCCUACUCAAAAAUCUAUUUACUUUCAAAUUUUCAACUUAAAUCCAAGAGUAUUUCACUCUAGGAUUCCAAAAACAUCAAAUUUAUGAGAAAAUGACUUGAUUUAGCUUACCUAUUAAACUUCAAGCUUCAAAUCCCUAGUUUUCCCUUUUAUUUUUCUUUCCCCUUUCCUUUCUUUCUUUUUCGUCUGUUCUCUGUUUCUUUUUAGCUAUUCUGUUUCUCUUUUUCUAUUCUUUUAUUUCAUUUGUUUUCUUUUAUGCAUAGUUAAUAAUAAUAUAUUAUUAUAAUCAUAUAAUAAUAUUUUAUUCACAAAUAUCUUUUACUUAAAUUAUAAGAAAAUAUUUUAUUUUAUUACAAGUGUGUUUUUUAAUAUUUUACACAUGUAUUAUUUUAUCACCACACAAUUG